rnacentral:tRNA from 1 species
CGAUGCGUAGCGUAGUGGUAGUGCGUUGUUGUUGCCAGUUGCAUGUCGUGGGUUCGAUUCCCUCGGCGCCCC